rnacentral:lncRNA from 1 species
UGUGAGAUCUUCACAGCAAACAGCCUUCGGCACAGUUAGGACGUCAGUGCCCCGUAAGUAGACCUGUGCUGCCUAGGGGCUGUGCAUACAGGAGCAGCCACGCCCACGCCAGCUCACUAACACCCAGCUCUGUUGCAGCCGCUCCAGCCCGGCCCAGGGGGUGCCUGCUGCUGCCCACGGGCUCAUCGGCCCCUGACAGGGUGGAGUCCAUGGAGGUUGACCUUACCCCUUCUCCAGUGAGAAGACCUCAGCCCGAGGUGGCAGCCGGCCCCACGCGGAUGUCUCUGAUUAGCCCACCUCAAGAUGGGCGCAUGGGAUCCCACCGUUGCAGAUCCCCCACAAGGGACCCACACAGACCCCAGCAGCCCAGGCAGCGGGCAGAGCAACGAGAGGAGGCUCCCCUGGCCUCGGUGGCUCCCAGGCGGCAGCGCCCAGGCCGCCCAUCAGCAUCUCCGGCCUGCUGCAUAGGCCGUGCCCAGGGUCUGCUCACCACAGGGGAGUCACACAGAGAAGAUGAGCCCCAGCAGGUGUACCCUGGAUGGUUUCUUCCUCCAGGUGCCACUAAGUCAUGUGACCGCAUAGUUACUUCUCGGGUUACCUGGGGCAGCACAAACGUGAUAUGCUUGAAACUGCUCUUCUUACUGCCUUACAAUGAGUGCCCACACGUGGCCGGCGCUGUGGCCUGCAGCACCUGCAUCCCAGUGGGCGCCGGUUCGAGUCCCGGCUGCUCCUCUUCCAAUCCAGCUCUCUGCUGUGGCCUGGGAAAGCGGUAG